UCUAGUACAGCGCUUCCGGCUAAUGCUCAGUGUGAUUCUAGAUCUCUAUUCCAAGUUGUUGACCAGAACGAUUUAGAACGUGCACAGCUCGUAAUUAAAACAAAUGGAGAGAAUAGAAGUUUCUGGGUGGAUGGGAGAAUAUCAGGCAAUACCAUUACCUUCACUGGUGGUUCAACAAUAUCGGUUAAUUCAGAAUUGUUUCAACCAAAUGAGCCCAAUGGAAGUUUUCUCCAUUUGUGGUAUUAUAACAAUACAUGGAGAUUAGACGACACUACAUGCAACUAUGCUCAAAAGUAUUUGUGUUCUGCUUAAGCGGUAAUCACAAUUCAAACAUGAAGUGUACCUCAUUCAUGAAAUCACUCCGCAAAUUAUAUUACUGCAAACGCAUGCCUCGUAAAUAAAUCGUACGUGUAGUUUAGUUUCAUUCCUAAUGUUAUUUUAGUUAUUAUUAGUGUUAUUGCAUGCUAUAAACUUGUUGAAUUGCAGAAGAAUAAAUGAUCUAAAGCAUAAAUA